GGUGAAGAACGCAGCGAAAUGCGAUACUUGGUGUGAAUUGCAGAAUCCCGUGAACCAUCGAGUCUUUGAACGCAAGUUGCGCCCGAAGCCAUCAGGUUGAGGGCACGUCUGCCUGGGCGUCACAUAUCGUUGCUCGAUGCCUAUCGCAUUGCGAUAGGACUUAGGGCGAAUGAUGGCUUCCCGUGAGCGUUGUUGCCUCGCGGUUGGUUGAAAAUCGAAUCCUUGGUAGGGUGUGCCAUGAUGGAUGGUGGUUGAGUGAUGAUGCUCGAGACCAAUCAUGGGUAACUCCACCAGAAUUGGGCUCGGUGACCCACAUGCGUCCCUUGGAUGCUCCCUAAGGAGACCUCAGGUCAGGCGGGGCUACCCGCUGAGUUUAAGCAUAUCAAUAAGCGGAGGA
rnacentral:misc_RNA from 1 species